AAACUUAGCCGCAAAAAAAUAGAAAAAAGAAAAAAGAAAGAAACUUAGCCGCCGUCCCGACCAGAUCUAGCCCAAAUCGCCUCCUGCUCCGACCCUAGCCGCCGCCGCCGACCGCCCUCCGCCGCCCGACCCCAGCAGCCCUCGACCACCCAUCGCACCAGCCUUCCUCCCGGACCAAUGCUGCGGCCGAGCAACCUCCUCCGCCGCCGUCAAGUACCCUCCUCCGCAGAUCUCAUCCACCCUCCGCCACAUCCCUAGCGCCGCCCAAAUGUCGCCGCUCCCUCAAUGCUUUCUUCCUGGGCAACAGCGUCUCCUUGCAUCUCUCCUGAACUGUCGAGAUGAGGCGUGCAGCGGGAUAGGUUUUGGCGGCGCCGGCCCCUCCUGGUCGUCCUACUCCGGUGCGUGCUCCUCCGCCCCAGGUCACGUCGUGCGUGCUCCUCCGUCUCCCCCUCUUGUACUUCGAGCCUGAGAAUCACAAGUCAAUAGAUGUUGGUGUCUCAGAGCGACAGGUAAUACCAUUUAAAAAUUUCAAUGAUUAAUGACACCACAUGGUCGAGCACUUAUGCCAAAUCUUCUUCCUCUGCUUUGAAGAAAAUAGCAGAGCACUCGGAUGGAUGAAUGUAUCUGGAACCGUCAGUCUCAGCCAGUGCAGACCGCUUUAGCAACAGUUGACGCUUUGUUUUACUUGUAAAUAUUUGUUACAAAGUGCAAUUUUCAGCUGCAAACAUUCAGCCUAUACUAUGUACUGCAUGUGUUACUAAUAAUUGCUGCCUGGUAUCUUGUCUGACCAGAAACAUAUGGUCAUUUUAGUAAUAGCAACAUCAAAGUAGAAAUUAGCUUGGGCAGGGAAGUCUUCUGUUUGUUUUUAGGUUCUAGCGAACAACAUAGUUCUUGUGUUGUUUUGGCCGUGUUUGGGUUCCUUUUGCUUUCUCUUGUACCGGAUAUCCUUUUGCAUUUGCUUCGCUUUUAAUGCUUGAUUUGUCUGUUACAGGAUACAGUAGACACUGCAGGUUGGCUGCGUCCGUGCCGCUGCUUUGGCCUAAGAUGGAUUCAAUUAAUUGAGGAAAAAUAAGGGCAACAUCUAGGUGUCAAAGUAAUGAUAUACAGAUGAUAUCAGAGGGUCUUCCUCCGCUUUGAGCAAUACCAUCUUAGGUUGGCAUCCUCACUGGAAGAUGUUUCUACAUGAUAGUAGUUGUAGCAGUCAACUAGGAUGUCUAUAUAAUGGUUCUUUCUACAGUAACACCUUCAAAGCAUUGCAAGCACGUGACUCUUCUGCUGGAGACAUGUGGCCAUCUUUGAAUAAUACAAUUUCACAGGAUGGUUGCAACCAUGUGUUGAGCUUAAACCAUAUGUGUACCUUAGUAUGAAGACUCAAAAUCUUAUCGUCUUAUGUAAAGUUUGUUUACCGUUGUAGCUGGUUGCUAUUGAACACAUGUAUGGAUGUUGAAGUAUUGAUUUUUUUCAGUCUAAAAAUAUUUCUAAAGUUCAAGGUUU